GACUCAAGAAAAUAUCUUCAUCAGUUUUAUUACAGAUGUGUUUACCAAAACGUACGAUUAAUCCAGGACCAGCAACUCUCAAUUAUCCAUAAUCAUCUGACAUUGGCAUGGCUGGCAGUUGGCAGUACCCUCUUUGAUCUUCUCGUAACCAAAACAAACCUCGAAAAGAAUAAGUGAUUUUCUCGUACUAAUGCAACAAUAACAGGCUGAUGAUACUGAUAAAGUCACGGGAUUUGAAGAGGAGUUACAAAAUGCAAGACGUUCAGUAGAAACACUGACUACCACUUUGGAAAAUCUGAAUCAAGCAAAAGCUGAUGUCUAGAACAAUUUAGAGAAUGAACCCGCAAUGAAGGUGAUGGUACUAAUAAUGGGUGCGGAAACUCUUCUGAGAUCAUUGAAGGAUUUGGAAUUGCAAGAAUCUGUUUUGCAAUCUGAUUAUGAUGUGAAACGAACUGACUUGGAAACUGAAUUUGUGAAUCGGAGAAGAAAAUAGCUGCUGGUAUGGAAAGUGAGAGUUUAUCGAAGGAUCUAGAUUGUUUAUUGAGAGUCUAUGGAAAAACUGAAUGCGGCAAACAAGGAAUUAGCAACUUGAUUGAGGGCAGUGAUGUUGGUAAGGCGGAAGCUUGGUGAAGUGCCACCACCACCGGGACUUAUCCGUUUCAGGAUGCCAUUACAAAUACCGAUGGUCGCACAAGACUGAUUGAUUCCAUGGAAGGAAAUGUGAAGGGAAGCCAACAGAAGCUACAAAAGGUCGAAGUUGGGCUUCAGGAAGAGCAGAAGGUUUCUGAUCCUCUUGAGAAGAGGUAUGCUGCAGCUAUGGCAGAGAAAAGGCGCUGCUAUUCCCUCUUAAGGCUUUUCAGGUAAGAGCUGCAGUCAUUAACCUAUGCUAGUGAUAAUGGUUAUAGAAAAAAAAAAAUUCACAUGCUCUGGAAGAACAAAUUUCACAAAUACUUUUCUUUCUGAUAUUUCAUUCUUGCCUAAUUGUCUGAGCAAAAACGACCUUUAAAACUUUUACAUGAAGGCUGCUUAAUGUUGUACUUAACUAUCCUUUCAACUUUAUCUCAAUUUUGUACAUCAUUUUCUUUUCAACUUUGGCUAUGCAUGAAAGUGCUGUGGCACCUCAAACUCUGGAUUUGUUUUUGGCAAAAGAGGUUAUUUAUUAGUGAUGUAUUAAGUUAUUCGUGAAGAAUUGCAUUAGGUUGUUUAUAAGGAACAAACGGUGGCUGUUGAAUGGUUCAGUGGUGGAAGACUUGGACUUGCAACCACAAGGGUCCGGGUUCUAGUUUUGAGAAUAGCUACUAAAUACAACUCAGAAUUCUCACUCUCGGGACUUCAUUUUGGUAGAAUGUUAACUGCUAGUUAUGCCUUCUAGACAGCACUGUUAAUUAUGAUAUAUGUUAUCUUGUCAUUUUUAACAACAGGAAAUAGUUGUGUUCUGUUUUCAUUCUUAUCAGCAAGAACUAAUUUCAUUUCAAUUUCGUAAUGUCAUCA